rnacentral:misc_RNA from 1 species
GAUGAAGAACGCAGCGAAAUGCGAUAAGUAAUGUGAAUUGCAGAAUUCAGUGAAUCAUCGAAUCUUUGAACGCGCAUUGCGCCCGCUGGUAUUCCGGCGGGCAUGCCUGUUCGAGCGUCAUUUCAACCCUCAAGCUCUCCGGAGUUUGGUGUUGGGGCGCCUGGGGCUUUUCGACCUCAGGGCCCUCAAGUCCAUCGGCGGGACCGCCAGGACACUGAGCGCAGUAGUAUUAUUUCGCUCGGUAGGAUCUUCCACGGCGGGUCGAUCUGGCCGCUAAACCCCCCAAUUCUCACCAAAGGUUGACCUCGGAUCAGGUAGGAAUACCCGCUGAACUUAAGCAUAUCAAUAAGCGGAGGA